rnacentral:tRNA from 1 species
GGACUAUAGCUCAGUUGGUAGAGUGUUUGCCUCACAUGCAGAAGGCCCUGAGUUCAAUCCCCAGUACCA